CAGCAGUCGCCGCGGGAAUACAGAGGGUGCGAGCGUUAAUCGGAUUUACUGGGCGUAAAGCGUGCGUAGGCGGCUUUUUAAGUCGGAUGUGAAAUCCCUGAGCUUAACUUAGGAAUUGCAUUCGAUACUGGGAAGCUAGAGUAUGGGAGAGGAUGGUAGAAUUCCAGGUGUAGCGGUGAAAUGCGUAGAGAUCUGGAGGAAUACCGAUGGCGAAGGCAGCCAUCUGGCCUAAUACUGACGCUGAGGUACGAAAGCAUGGGGAGCAAACAGGAUUAGAUACCCGCGUAGUCCCUGUCUCUUAUAA
rnacentral:rRNA from 1 species